rnacentral:rRNA from 1 species
AUUAACGCAGACAGUGGAUGCCUUGGUUGACUCAACCGAUGAAGGACGUACAUGACCGCGAAAGUUGACGGUGAGCUGUCACGAAGCUUUGACCCGUCAGUGUCCGAAUGGAAAAAUCCAUCCCGAUUUAAUCGGGAUAACCUUUAACCAAAUUUCCAAUUUAUUGGAUUAUUAAUUAAUGGUAGGGAACUCGGGGAACUGAAACAUCUAAGUACCCGAUGGAAAAUAAAUUAACAAAGAUUUCGUUAGUAGCGGAGAGCGAAACCGAAACAGCCCAAACCUUGAUCUAGCUUGCUAGAACGAGGGGUUGCGGGACUCAGAUAUUGGAUUAAGUUAAGAUAGAGGAAUAUCUUGGAAUAGAUGAUCAUAGAGAGUGAAAAUCUCGUACUUUAAAUCUUUAACUUACCAUAUGAGUAUCCCAAGUACCAUGCGGCACAUACCGUGUGGGAAUCUAGGAGAACCAUCUUCUAAGGCUAAAUAUUGAGUCAGACCGAUAGUGAACUAGUACCGCGAGGGAAAGGUUAAAAGUAGAGCGAGACGCUCAGUGAAAUAGUACCUGAAACUGUUUGCGAACAAACCGAGAGAGGGGUAAACCGUAAUGGUUCACCCUGAUCUCGUGCCUAUUGAAGAAUGAACCGGCGAGUUGCCAUUAUGUACAAGUUUAAUCCCGAUUUAAUCGGGAGAAGGCGUAGCGAAAGCGAGUCUGAAAGGGCGAAAAAAGUACAUCGUGGCAGACCCGAAACCAGGCGAUCUAACCAUGAGCAGGGUGAACCCCGAUGAAGAUCGGGGGGAGGCCCGAACCCGUUGUUGUUACAAUAACAUGGGACGACUUGUGGUUAGCGGCAAUAUACCAACCGAGCCUGGAGAUAGCUGGUUCUCCCCGAAAGGUCUAUAGGGACCGUGGCCAAAACAACUUGUGAGGUGGUAGAGCUACUGAAUGGGCAGGAGAGCGUAAGCAAUUUUGUCUAAUCAAACUCCGAAUAACUUACAAGAAAGUUGGCUAGACAGCCGUGUCGGGCUAAGCCGAUACGACUAAAGGGAAACAUCCCAGAUUUUCGUCUAAGGCCUCUAAAUUUAUAUUAAGUUUCAAAGGUAGUUUUGUCUCAUAGACAGCCAGGAGGUUGGCUUAGAAGCAGCCAUCCUUUAAAGAAAGCGUAACAGCUCACUGGUCAACGAGACAAAGCGCCGAAAAUUUAUCGAGGAUUAAAUAUAAUGCCGAAGACAAUGAUUUUUUCGCUAAUUUAUUAGCGAGGGAGUGGUAGGGGAGCGUUCUAAACGCAGUGAAGAUAGAUUGUAAAGUCUGUUGGAGUGUUUAGAAGUGAGUAUGCCGGUAUGAGUAGCGCACAAGGCCAGUAAGAAUCUGGCCCGCCGAAUACCCAAGGUUUCCAGAGCUACGUUCGUCGUCUCUGGGUUAGUCGAUACCUAAGGUGAGGCCUAUUUAAUGGGCGUAGCCGAUGGAAGACUGGUUAAAAUUCCAGUAUUUGAUUAAAAGCGUUUGAGUUAGGGACUGACUAGGUGAAUAAGCUAGAGCUUCUUAUUGAAUUGAAGCACAGAAGUGUCAAUAGUUGUGACAGGAAAAUCCGUCGUGACGAUCAAGAAUUGAUGUGGUGUAAAGUUUGCUGAAAGGCAAGCAAUUUUAGCUAAUAAUCUACAAGAAAAGGUUCGUAACAAGUUUUUAAUUAAGUCGUACCGCAAACCGACACAGGUGGGUUAGUCGAGAAGACUAAGGCGAUCGAGAGAAAGAAGUUUAAGGAACUCGGCAAAAAAACUACCCGUAACUUCGGGAGAUGGGUUCCCUGAACCGUUACUGGUUUAGGGGGCACCUAAAGUUUGCUAGUCGACUGUAUAUCAAAAACACAGGUCCCUGCAAAAGCGAAAGCUGAAGUAUAGGGGCUGACGCUUGCCCAGUGCCGGUAAGUUAAGGGGAGGGGUGGUCGCCGCAAGGCAACUGCCUUGAACUCAAGCUCCGGUAAACGGCAGCAGUAACUAUAACUGUUCUACGGUAGGAACUAUAAACGAAUGCCGUAGUAAAAUUUGACUAUAUGCUGGAAGUGCUCAGUAUCUGACAGUACCGAAAGGUAACAAUCUGAUCAAUGGAGUUAAUCAGCAGGAAAGACUUAGAAAGCAAUUUUUAAGAAUCCUCAGACACUAAUACGUCAAACUCUAACGAAAGUUAGAUGAAGAUAGAGUGCGGACUACAUGGCGACAUGUAGAAAAUAAUUAGGUGACUAAUUGUUGAUAACAGAAUCAAGCGAAGUUCCUUGUCGGGUAAAAUACGGAAUUUGCCCGAAUAUUGUGGUAACAUGAUAUGAGUACCUGGCUGUAUCGGUGAAGGCUAAUCAUAAAUUUAUUUAUGGAUGCUAAUACCGAGGGAAGUCAUAAUUGACCCCGUAACGACUGAUCCGAAAGGAGAGUACGGAUUUUUAAUCUGUAAAUACGCCAGCUCUUGUCUAAAAAAACGAAAUAUGGAGUUUUCCUCUUACAUUUCUGGUUUCACAGAUGGCGAAGGAUGUUUUUCAAUAUCCUUCAGUAAACGAUCUAAGUUUAAAGUCGGAAUCGAAGUACGACCCAGUUUUUCUCUGUCACAACAUGAGAGAAAUUUAGAAGUACUUAAAAAGAUUCAUAACUUUUUUAAAGUUGGAAGUAUUAGGUAUUCAAAACGAGAUAGUAAUUUUAAAUAUGAAGUUAGGUCCAUAAAAGAUUUAACUACAAUUAUCAUUCCCUAUUUCGAAAAGAAUCAACUUUUAACUUCAAAAAGACACGAUUUUGAAAUUUUUAGUAAAGUUUGCAAACUCAUUCAAAAGAAUGAGCAUCUAAAAUCAGAAAAAUUGAAUGACAUCAUA